CGACAUUUUACAGGGUUAUGCAAUAAUUUAGAACCUCAUCGCUCUUGUUUUGAUGACAACAUCGUUCUCUAUACUCUGCGCGAAAAAGCCACCUAAUGUCUAAGUACAAGUUUAUUUUUGACCAACCACUUUCCGGGUGGCAAGGUUGUAAAGAAAAGAAAAUUGUGAUCGUCUCUUGGAAGACGAAUUUAUAGAUUUAUAACAAGUGAGAUGACUUGUAGCUGGGGAAUGAUUUUCCUUGAAAAAUCUUCAGUUCUGAUGGCUAUUUGAGAUAAAGAAAGAGAAGGAUGUUGUAGAAAGUAGCGAGAGAGAAAGGAGGUUCAAGGAGAUGAAUAUGCAAAACAGAAGAACAGAAAGAGAUAAAGAGGAGGAGAAGAAUCAAAUAUAAUGACGAAGAAGAAAUAUUAGAAUAAAUUACGUACCAUUUUCACUAACUUCAAUAUUUUAAUUUCAUAGAUAACAUUCAUCCAUCCGUAUAUACAUACAUAAGUUU